GAACAGGAUAAUUAUUCAGUGUGGGUUUUCUAAUGUUCCUGUGCUUCUAGAGUACUGGGAUUUGUUUGGUGAGAAGAGCAAGAUGGCAGUAGUUUAGAAAAUGCGACCAGGACAGUAUUACUGAAGUGGGUUGAUCGUCUGUGGGACUUCACAAGCUGUGCUAUGACUUGGGGCUGCAGUAAGUGAUGCUGUCCAGCAGGGGGAGAUGUGUGUGUGCUAGGUCAUUGGUAAGUCAUGCCGAGGAGCUGAAGCUGUGAAACUCUUGUGUAGAGCCUCUGGAGGCCGUUUGUCCUUAAGCACAGGACUACAAUACAGUCGGCAAAUGAGAGGCUUCAUGGGGAUCUACAAUACUUUUGCAUCGACGCCUCCAGUAUGUCUUGGCACCUCUGUGGCUCUAGGUUUGGAGGCUCCUGAAGAAAGCUGUAUACCAGAAGGAGCCCAGUGUGUUCCUGUCUGUGGGAUACAGAAAUCCAGCUUGACCCUGCUGCACAGCCAGUGGGGAGACAUCCCUACACUGAGAUAACAGACAAAGGAGGGGUGUGCUGUGACGUCUGGAGCCCUCUUGAUCACAUGGGAGGAAUGGAGAUUGGCAGCUGAAGCUCUCCAACAGGAAGGGAAGAUUCUCAGCACCGCACCUGUGAUGUGGUGUGUAUGGGGCUCCUCUAAUCUUCUGUCAUGUCCUUGAGCCUGCUCUUGUAACAUCUCUAUCCUGUGUGUGCAAUAAAGUGAAGGUGUUGCUGGAA